GUGGAUUCAGUCAACUCUGGCAAGAUUCCAUGGAAGGUAGCAGCAAGAUGGUUCAGAGCUACUGCAAAGUUUCAAUGGAGGCUCACCCACACAUACAGGGAGGCUAAUAUAGGAGCAGAUGCAGCAGCAAAGAAGGGAGCUCAAAUGAGUGUAGGUCAUUCUAUAUGGACUACACAGAAGCCUAAUUUUAUCAAGAAUGUCGAGUGUCCAAACAGUAUUUACUAUCGCUUUGAUGAGUAAUUAUUUGGACAUGGUUGUAAUUUUUUCUUUUUGCUGUUGUAUCAUUCUUUUAUACCUUUAAUAAAAAUCCCUAUUUGUGUGCAAAAAAAAA
rnacentral:lncRNA from 1 species